ACUCCUGCGGGAGGCAGCAGUGGGGAAUAUUGGACAAUGGGCGCAAGCCUGAUCCAGCCAUGCCGCGUGAGUGAUGAAGGCCCUAGGGUUGUAAAGCUCUUUCACCGGUGAAGAUAAUGACGGUAACCGGAGAAGAAGCCCCGGCUAACUUCGUGCCAGCAGCCGCGGUAAUACGAAGGGGGCUAGCGUUGUUCGGAUUUACUGGGCGUAAAGCGCACGUAGGCGGACUAUUAAGUCAGGGGUGAAAUCCCGGGGCUCAACCCCGGAACUGCCUUUGAUACUGGUAGUCUUGAGUUCGAGAGAGGUGAGUGGAAUUCCGAGUGUAGAGGUGAAAUUCGUAGAUAUUCGGAGGAACACCAGUGGCGAAGGCGGCUCACUGGCUCGAUACUGACGCUGAGGUGCGAAAGCGUGGGGAGCAAACAGGAUUAGAAACCCUGGUAGUCCCAUGAU
rnacentral:rRNA from 1 species